UGUAAACAUUAAGGAGUGAGGAAGUUAAAACGAUACCAAUCGAGUUUUAGAGCUUUGGUGACCAUUUUAAAAGAAUAUAUGAUAAAUUCAAAGGUAAGUCUAUCGUAUUGCAUUGUCUUAAAUGAAUUCUCAGCUAAAAUACGGCAAUAAAUGGAUCAUAAAUUUAGUUAAAUUCACUGUUGACAACGAGGUUGACAGAUCCAAUGAUUUUUUUCCUUGAAUAGCUUUACCAUAGUUAUUUUACCUUAAAAUGUGGCUACCGAGGAUAUCUCUAAGAGAUUUUACACAGAUUAUUUGCACAAUCUCACGAUUUAAUCAUGCUGAUAACAUGAAAAUCCUUGUGCCAUUGUAUACUUGGCAUAAAUCUCCACAUCAAUAGUUCACCAGUUCAACACUUAUAAGUUAUUAAUUCAAUAUAUUUUUGAACCAGUCCAUAUAUUAUUAUACACAAUGUAGUAUAGUUAAUUUGACCAUUGAGAAGUAAGGGUGUAUUACAUUACACAGACACUGCUGAAUUUUAGGUUACAUGCCAUUGGAUUGAUAUAUAAAAACAUUUGUAAAAACACACAUCGGUCAUUAUCUUGUUGAUAGAAUAGUUAUUUGCAGUAUACUAACUGUUAGCAUACUCUAUUUCAGGCCUAUCAAUUGUUCUUGUCACUGACAAUCUUUGAAAUACAAUCUUGCUCUGUGGCCUUUACUGACAAGUUGGCUUUUACUACAUAUGUGGCACUGACACCUCUUUAAUUAAUGCACCAGUCAAUGUAAACCCCCCAACCGGGGAGGGGCAGGGAUUUUGACUUGGAGGGGUAGUAAAAGAGCAAAAUUGUCCCGCCCCCAGGGACAUCAAUGUCCCCUGCAUGUCUCUCAACCGCGGGAAAAUAGUUUUGUAUAAUCAUAGAUCAGCAAUAGAAAAUCAAAUUCAUUUAUGUUGUUGUAUUUAAACUUUUCUUGUCAAGAAAACUAAAACAGCAACACAGGAUAUAUAUAUUAACCACCGUCCAAGUCUCCCAUCAUUGGGGCAAAUUUAUAAUCAAAACGGACCACUUUCCCCACUAAACCUCCCGCCCCUCCCCGGUUGGGGGCAGGGUUUACAUUGACUGGUGCAUAACUAGAUGAUUGCAUGAAAGUUGAUUUACGUAUAAUUAGUUUAUGAAUAAACUCGCACUUUCAUUGUAGAGGUUAAGAUUUGAGUUCUACUAGCACUAUCUCUGACUGCCUUAGUAUGCAUUUGAUUGGUUAUAUCAUGGUUGAUCGAAUAUAUCAAAUACAUUUGAUGGUCCCUUAAUGGUAAUGGUUGUCAAAUCUGAACCUCUAUAAUGUCAAUGAAGAAUGCAUACUGGAAAAGUAUCAAAUUAAAUUUUAAUUGUCAAAUUAUGUUGUGGAAAGUAAAUAAAUCGAACAAUUCUGUUUGUUUCAACUAACUAGUUCACUAUCACUUUGGUUUUCAAAUCAAAGAAUCUUUAGCCUGGUUGAGCUUUUGAAAAAGUAGCUACUUUAGUGA